rnacentral:lncRNA from 1 species
AUGUGCUCCUUCCUGCUGACCUGCAGGAUUGGAAAUGCAAGUGAAAUCGCUGUUCCGACGCACAGUAUUGGUCUGAGGUAGAUUGGAAAAGCUUCAGUAACCAGUCUUUGCCACAGAGGAUUUGAGCAGCAUAGACUUAAACUGUAAAGAAUCACCUUCUUCAGCAAAGCAGUUUGGAGACAGCUAUGGAGCUGAGUGCUGCAAGAGCGUGGGCUCCGGCACGGGCGUCCCACCCUGGGAUGAAUCUGGUGCAGGCUUUUCUGAGAGUAAUGUCAUAAAUGUGUCAGCUGCUCUAACAAAGUAACCGUCCUUUGACCAAUCCUCUGAGACGUGGAAAAAGGCAUAACCACCAGGACGUCCACUGAGCAGCGUCUGAAAGAGUGAAAAACCCAGAAAUGGCAUGAACGCCCCACGGCAGAGGAGGGGCCGAGAGGGCAGCUCAUGCACAGAGCGAGGCAUGAGGCAGCCGCUGACGACGGUGCAAACUCGGUUUUGUAGAAGAGCGUUCGCCAGGAGAAACUGUUCCUGCCUUCAUUUAUUCAUCAAAUGUUUACUGAUAACCUACAAAGUGCCAGGCAGGUGCCUGGAAGAUAGACUGUAUUUAUUUUAAAAACAGCCUUUGAAACACUGGAACGCAUGGUCGCAAGCUGAUGAAAAGAAAAGUGCAUCUAUGCACGGGAAGAGCUAGAACGCUGUGCUUGCAGACGUCACCUGUCACUUGCUCUUGGAGUGGGAUUGUGGGCAUGUACCUUCUCUUUGGACUUUCUGAUAUGUUCCAUGAUGUUCUCUGAUGAAUAUACGGUUUAUGAAAUUAGACUGAGA